AGGAAAAGUUAGCAUAUGUGACUCCAUUUUGGUUUGGGGCCCACCAUUGUCUAAAAGCAAGCACAUCAUGCACCAGGAGGAGUGUUUCUUAGCUACUGCAUUCCCGUGAAAACUCUCCCCCCUGUUUCCAGCCUGUCUCCACUCCCUGUUUCUG